UAAAAUUAAAGAAUAUGGCAGUAUUUUAAUUUUUUCAGAGGAACCUGUUCUAUAAUUGAUAUUCCACGAUUAAAUAUACUUAUUUUUUUUAAUUUAUAUAUCAUUGUAUUUAAUUAUAUCAGGAGAUUAUAUUUAAUUUAUAAAAUUAUAUUAAAAAUCAAAUCAGGGUGUAGUUUAUAAAUAAGUAGAAAUGGGUUACAAUAAAAAAAUUUUUGGAUAAUAUUUUUUAAUAGUAUUUGAAAUUGGAUUUGAAAGUAAUUAUAUAAUAAUUUUUAUAAUGAUUUAACUCUAAAAUAUGUACAUAUUGCCCGUCGCUUUUGUUUUUAAAAUGAAAUAAGUCGUAACAAAGUAGGUUUACUGGAAAGUGAGUCUAGAUU
rnacentral:rRNA from 1 species